rnacentral:rRNA from 1 species
CCUACGGGUGGCUGCAGUCGAGAAUUUUUCACAAUGGGCGAAAGCCUGAUGGAGCGACGCCGCGUGGGGGAUGAAUGGCUUCGGCCCGUAAACCCCUGUCAUUUGCGAACAAACCUUAUUCAUUAACACUGAAUGAGCUGAUUGUAGCGGAAGAGGAAGGGACGGCUAACUCUGUGCCAGCAGCCGCGGUAAUACAGAGGUCCCGAGCGUUGUUCGGAUUCACUGGGCGUAAAGGGUGCGUAGGUGGUGAGGUAAGUCGGAUGUGAAAUCUCCGG